GUGAUCGUGGCGAAGCGGCGAACGCGGCCGACUGUGACUCGGCUAUUCGAGGGUUCAACUCCCUCCGAUCACCCCA
rnacentral:tRNA from 1 species